UACGGAGGAUGCAAGCGUUAUCCGGAUUUAUUGGGUUUAAAGGGUGCGCAGGUUGUUUGAUAAGUCAGUGGUGAAAGUCUGUCGCUUAACGGUAGGAUUGCCAUUGAUACUGUUGGACUUGAAUAUGGAUGAGGUAGGCGGAAUGUGUAGUGUAGCGGUGAAAUGCAUAGAUAUUACACAGAACACCGAUUGCGAAGGCAGCUUACUAAUCCAUCAUUGACGCUGAGGCACGAAAGCGUGGAGAUCAAA
rnacentral:rRNA from 1 species